rnacentral:tRNA from 1 species
CAGGUAGGUAGUUUAAACAAAAAUACCGAUUUUGGAAAUCGAUGAUUGGGUACCAACCCCACCACCUGA